rnacentral:rRNA from 1 species
AGUUGAAUGAAGACCGUACCGUAAACCGACACAGGUGGGUAGGAUGAGAAUUCUGAGGCGCUUGAGAGAACUCAGGAGAAGGAACUCGGCAAAAUAGCACCGUAACUUCGGGAAAAGGUGUGCCCUUUGUAUGUGUAGCGCCUCGCGCGUGAAGCAGAAUAGGGUUGCAAUGAAAUGGUGGCUGCGACUGUUUAAUAAAAACAUAGCACUCUGCAAACACGAAAGUGGACGUAUAGAGUGUGACGCCUGCCCGGCGCCGGAAGGUUAAAUGAUGGGGUGCAAGCUCUUGAUUGAAGCCCCGGUAAACGGCGGCCGUAACAAUAACGGUCCUAAGGUAGCGAAAUUCCUUGUCGGGUAAGUUCCGACCUGCACGAAUGGCGUAACGAUGGCCACACUGUCUCCUCCUGGGACUCAGCGAAGUUGAAAUGUUUGUGAAGAUGCAAUCUCCCCGCGGCUAGACGGAAAGACCCCGUGCACCUUUACUGUAGCUUUACAUUGGACUUUGAUAACAUUUGUGUAGGAUAGGUGGGAGGCUUUGAAGUGGAUUCGCCAGAAUUCAUGGAGCCAACGUUGAAAUACCACCCUGAUGUUGUUGAGGUUCUAACCUAGAUCCAUUAUCUGGAUUGGGGACCGUGUAUGGUAGGCAGUUUGACUGGGGCGGUCUCCUCCCAAAUUGUAACGGAGGAGUACGAAGGUACGCUAGGUACGGUCGGAAAUCGUGCUGAUAGUGCAAUGGCAAAAGCGUGCUUAACUGCGAGACUGACAAGUCGAGCAGAUGCGAAAGCAGGUCAUAGUGAUCCGGUGGUUCUGUAUGGAAGGGCCAUCGCUCAACGGAUAAAAGGUACGCCGGGGAUAACAGGCUGAUUCCUCCCAAGAGUUCAUAUCGACGGGGGAGUUUGGCACCUCGAUGUCGGCUCAUCACAUCCUGGGGCUGUAGCCGGUCCCAAGGGUAUGGCUGUUCGCCAUUUAAAGUGGUACGUGAGCUGGGUUUAAAACGUCGUGAGACAGUUUGGUCCCUAUCUGCCGUGGGCGUUGGAAGUUUGAGUGGACCUGCUCCUAGUACGAGAGGACCGGAGUGGACGCACCUCUGGUGUACCGGUUAUGACGCCAGUCGUAUCGCCGGGUAGCUAUGUGCGGAAGAGAUAACCGCUGAAAGCAUCUAAGCGGGAAACUCUCCUCAAGAUGAGACUUCCCGAGGGUUUAACCCUCCUAAAGGUUCGUCGAAGACUACGACGUUGAUAGGUCGGGUGUGGAAGCAUAGUGAUAUGUUAAGCUAACCGAUACUAAUUGACCGUGAGGCUUGAUC